GCUGGGCAUGGUGGUGCAUGCCUGUGGUCCCAACUACUUGGGAGGCUGAGGUGGGAGGAUCACUUGAGCCCAGGAAGUCAAGGCUGCAGUGAGCUAUUAUUGUGCCACUACACUCCAGCUUGGGCAACAGAGUGAGACCUUGUUUCAA
rnacentral:SRP_RNA from 1 species